CACGUAGGGGGGCGAGCGUUGUCCGGAUUUAUUGGGCGUAAAGAGCUCGUAGGCGGCUCGGUAAGUCGGGUGUGAAAUUUCGAGGCUCAACCUCGAAACGCCACCCGAUACUGCUGUGGCUAGAGUCCGGUAGGGGAGCGUGGAAUUCCUGGUGUAGCGGUGAAAUGCGCAGAUAUCAGGAGGAACACCAGUGGCGAAGGCGGCUCACUGGCCCGAUACUGACGCUGAGGCACGAAAGCGUGGGGAGCAAACAGG
rnacentral:rRNA from 1 species